UACGGGGGGGGCAAGCGUUGUUCGGAAUUACUGGGCGUAAAGGGCGCGUAGGCGGCCUACUAAGUCGGACGUGAAAUCCCUCGGCUCAACCGAGGAACUGCGUCCGAUACUGGCAGGCUGGAAUCCGGGAGAGGGAUGUGGAAUUCCAGGUGUAGCGGUGAAAUGCGUAGAUAUCUGGAGGAACACCGGUGGCGAAGGCGGCAUCCUGGACCGGUAUUGACGCUGAGGCACGAAAGCUAGGGGAGCAAACAGG
rnacentral:rRNA from 1 species